GACGAAUGCUGGCGGCGUGCCUAAUACAUGCAAGUUGAGCGAUGAAGAUUGGUGCUUGCACCAAUUUGAAGAGCAGCGAACGGGUGAGUAACGCGUGGGGAAUCUGCCUUUGAGUGGGGGACAACAUUUGGAAACGAAUGCUAAUACCGCAUAACAACUUUAAACAUAAGUUUUAAGUUUGAAAGAUGCAAUUGCAUCACUCAAAGCUGAUCCCGGGUUGUAUUAGCUAGUUGGUGAGGUAAAGGCUCACCAAGGCGAUGAUACAUAGCCGACCUGGGAGGGUGAUCGGCCACAUUGGGACUGAGACACGGCCCAAACUCCUACGGGAGGCAGCAGUAGGGAAUCUUCGGCAAUGGACGAAAGUCUGACCGAGCAACGCCGCGUGAGUGAAGAAGGUUUUCGGAUCGUAAAACUCUGUUGGUAGAGAAGAACGUUGGUGAGGGUGGAAAGCUCAUCAAGUGACGGUAACUACCCAGAAAGGGACGGCUAACUACGUGCCAGCAGCCGCAGUAA
rnacentral:rRNA from 1 species